GGCACCUUGCUUUAGUUGGUUAAAGCGUUGGCGUACAUCCCCGAAGACGCUGGUUCAAACCCAGCUGGUACCU
rnacentral:tRNA from 1 species